AAUGAACGCUGGCGGCAUGCCUAACACAUGCAAGUCGAACGAGACCUUCGGGUCUAGUGGCGCACGGGUGCGUAACGCGUGGGAAUCUGCCCUUGGGUUCGGAAUAACUCGCCGAAAGGCGUGCUAAUACCGGAUGAUGACGUAAGUCCAAAGAUUUAUCGCCCAAGGAUGAGCCCGCGUAGGAUUAGCUAGUUGGUGGGGUAAAGGCCCACCAAGGCGACGAUCCUUAGCUGGUCUGAGAGGAUGAUCAGCCACACUGGGACUGAGACACGGCCCAGACUCCUACGGGAGGCAGCAGUGGGGAAUAUUGGACAAUGGGCGAGAGCCUGAUCCAGCAAUGCCGCGUGAGUGAUGAAGGCCUUAGGGUUGUAAAGCUCUUUUACCCGGGAUGAUAAUGACAGUACCGGGAGAAUAAGCCCCGGCUAACUCCGUGCCAGCCGCCGCUGUAA
rnacentral:rRNA from 1 species